UCUGUUGGAUUCUGAUCCAACUCAAAAGGCAAGUAAAUUUACUCCUCUACCCUUGCUAAUUAAAAAGUAUCACAUGGUUUCAGGGUAUUUGAAUACGAUAAAACAUUAAGGUUAUGGGAGGUGUUACGGACAAGGUAAUAAACCAAACUGGACUUUGCUGAUUACUUAAUAUACAUGUAAAAUGUCUAAUAAGGUAACAAUAAUAAAAAAAAUCCUUUCCAUAUUGGCCUCAUAAGUUUGUAUGUUGCAACUGAAUGCUAUUUAGAUGCAAAGGUAUAUAACCUUCUAUUAAAACAAUAUAAUUUUAUAAAAAAAACAUUAUAUUUUCAUAAUCAAAGCUAUUAAGACACUGUAAUUUUAUUAUUCUUGCUAUCAAGUCACUCUACAUCCACAAACUAAACAUUUUUGUUUUUGGUUACCAGUUAUAGCAUAUUAUAGCUUUAAUUUUUUUUUAUUAUCAAGACUUUAUUUUGAAAAUCUAAACUUGCUUGAUUUUGGUAAACAUAUAUAGCAUUUUAUACUUGAAAAAUCUAGACUUUGAAUGUCUAGACAAUUGUAAAAUAUAGCUAUAGAGAUUUUUUUUCUUACAAUCUUUUACUAUUAAGCCAUUGUACUUUGAAAAUCUAAGCAUCUAUGAUUUAUGUUACCAUCACUAACAUUAUACUUUCAAUUUUCUUUCCUAUUUCUGUAUAUCUUUUUUCAUAUUAAGACAAUGUGCUUUAUCUUAAAUAUUACUAUUUAAAUUAUAGUGUUAUACUGCUAAUAUCUAACAUAUUAAGACACUCAUUUAAUACCUUCCUGAUGAAGACAUUGCACUUUAAAAAUCUCACCUAUUAAGACUACUAAGUUUAAAAACUUCUACCAUUCAACCUUUUUCUUAUUAAAGCAAUACACUUUGAAAAUCGAAUAUUAUUAGAUUUGAAUUUUUUUUUUUUAUCAUUCAACCUUUUUCCUGAUUAAGACAACAUUUUAUUUUUGAAAUAUAACAUAUUUAAAUGUUAUCUUUUAACUUUUUUUUUCUUAUUAGGAUAAUACAUUUUGAAAACAUUGUACCUUUCAAGUUUUUUCUUGUUAAGACUAACCUUUUGGAAAAUCUAAGAUAUACUUUUAUGAACAGGUUUGCCACAUGAAUAAGGAAAGUCAAAGAUGGAAUUCUAAUGUUUGUCCAACAGUGACAAGGAAAAUGAAUCGCUUUGGAAAGAAUAUGAGGUAUAUUACUAAUUUUAUGCAUUAUAAAAAUUAUAUUAAUCGUAACAAAGAUUGUUACUAGCUGUAUAAAUUAUUGUAGAUUUUUCAUAGUCAAGGAAAUGUGUUUGAAGCUAGAUGAGGAUGUGAAAAUUACAUGGUGGACUUAGAUGCUACGGCCUGAUCAUGUAAGUUGUGGGAUUUGUCUGGAAUUCCAUGUGUACAGAAAAUUAUUGCAAUUAAUUUUAUCCAUCAAACACCUUAUGGAUAUAUUAAUUAAUACUUUUCUAAAGAUAAAUAUCUUGAAUGUUACUCUUCAAACAUACAUGUUAAUGGAAACAAUCUUUGGCCCCAAACUCAUUACAUUAAGCCCUUGCCCCCCAUUGGCAAUGAGGAUGGUGGUUCUUCUUCGUCUACAAAUCUAGUCACUUUGGAGUAGUUGGUUAGAUAGAAAGGGGGUGUAGUGGGGAUUAUAUAGGUUGCCACUUUUGUAAACAUGUUUUGGUGUUUUUUUAUAUGUACAUUAAUUAAUAAUUAUUACACCCGUUGAUUGCAGCAUACUUCCACUUGCUCUUUUGUUACCAUUUAGGAUGCCUUUUUUGUGAAUUGUUUAGGCAUUUUAGUACAAAUGGAUGGGUGUUCUGUAGAGACCUUGCAGCGGUUGGGAAUCUGUUGUCACAAGCGGGAUUUAACCGUCCAAUUCCGGUAAAAUAUGAAGGUUUAAGCUGUUAGGAUUUAAUUAAAAGAAGCAUAAACAAAUAAUCAAAAACCGGUUAAUGUAUAAAUUGUGGUUGUGGGAAGACAUAUUAUCAAAGGGGAGGGAAGACGAAACAAAUUCAAAUAAACGAAGCUUGGUGGAAGAAGUCAUUUUUGUACAAAAUGGGACAAGGGAAGGGAAGGGAAGGGGACUACUCUUUAAUUAAUUCACAACUUGGGCCUCAAGUAACUUUUGAUUACUAUCAAUCAAGAUUAGUAUUUCCACAUUUAGCUUCUUUGCAUGGAUCUUUAAUUUUUAGGUGGGGUUUCGUCAUAGUUGAUCAUUUAAGUACAUAAAGGAAUAUAUAUAUAUAUAUAUAUAUAUAUAUAUAUAUAUAUAUAUAUA
rnacentral:lncRNA from 1 species